rnacentral:rRNA from 1 species
GACGAACGCUGGCGGCGCGCUUAACACAUGCAAGUCGAACGGAAAGGCCCUGCUUUUGUGGGGCGCUCGAGUGGCGAACGGGUGAGUAACACGUGAGUAACCUGCCCUUGACUUUGGGAUAACUUCAGGAAACUGGGGCUAAUACCGGAUAGGAGCUCCUGCUGCAUGGUGGGGGUUGGAAAGUUUCGGCGGUUGGGGAUGGACUCGCGGCUUAUCAGCUUGUUGGUGGGGUAGUGGCUUACCAAGGCUUUGACGGGUAGCCGGCCUGAGAGGGUGACCGGCCACAUUGGGACUGAGAUACGGCCCAGACUCCUACGGGAGGCAGCAGUGGGGAAUAUUGCACAAUGGGCGGAAGCCUGAUGCAGCAACGCCGCGUGCGGGAUGACGGCUUUCGGGUUGUAAACCGCUUUCGCCUGUGACGAAGCGUGAGUGACGGUAAUGGGUAAAGAAGCACCGGCUAACUACGUG